rnacentral:rRNA from 1 species
GUCGAACGGACAGAAUGGAGCUUGCUCCAUGAAGUUAGUGGCGGACGGGUGAGUAACGCGUGGGUAACCUGCCCUAUGCAGGGGGAUAACGUUUGGAAACGAACGCUAAUACCGCAUAACCUAGUUUCUUCGCAUGGAGAGACUAGCAAAGAUUUAUCGGCAUAGGAUGGACCCGCGUUGGAUUAGCUAGUUGGUGAGAUAAAAGCUCACCAAGGCGACGAUCCAUAGCCGGCCUGAGAGGGUGAACGGCCACACUGGGACUGAGACACGGCCCAGACUCCUACGGGAGGCAGCAGUGGGGAAUAUUGCACAAUGGGCGCAAGCCUGAUGCAGCGACGCCGCAUGAAGGAUGAAGGUUUUCGGAUCGUAAACUUCUAUCAGCAGGGAAGAAACCAAUGACGGUACCUGACUAAGAAGCCCCGGCUAACUACGUGCCAGCAGCCGCGGUAAUACGUAGGGGGCAAGCGUUAUCCGGAUUCACUGGGUGUAAAGGGUGCGUAGGUGGCAAUGUAAGUCAGAUGUGAAAUUUAGGGGCUCAACCUCUAAGCUGCAUCUGAAACUGCGUAGCUAGAGUGCAGGAGAGGAAAGCGGAAUUCCGAGUGUAGCGGUGAAAUGCGUAGAGAUUCGGAGGAACACCAGUAGCGAAGGCGGCUUUCUGGACUGUA